rnacentral:rRNA from 2 species
ACAUGUGCGUGACGCUACCUCUGGUGAUGAUUGGAUGCGUUGCGUCCUCGCAACUCUUCAUUUGAGUGAGUGGCGAACUGGUGAGUAACACGUGGGAAACCUGCCCAGAAGCGGGGGAUAACACCUGGAAACAGAUGCUAAUACCGCAUAACAACUUGGACCGCAUGGUCCGAGUUUGAAAGAUGGCUUCGGCUAUCACUUUUGGAUGGUCCCGCGGCGUAUUAGCUAGAUGGUGAGGUAACGGCUCACCAUGGCAAUGAUACGUAGCCGACCUGAGAGGGUAAUCGGCCACAUUGGGACUGAGACACGGCCCAAACUCCUACGGGAGGCAGCAGUAGGGAAUCUUCCACAAUGGACGAAAGUCUGAUGGAGCAACGCCGCGUGAGUGAAGAAGGGUUUCGGCUCGUAAAACUCUGUUGUUAAAGAAGAACAUAUCUGAGAGUAACUGUUCAGGUAUUGACGGUAUUUAACCAGAAAGCCACGGCUAACUACGUGCCAGCAGCCGCGGUAAUACGUAGGUGGCAAGCGUUGUCCGGAUUUAUUGGGCGUAAAGCGAGCGCAGGCGGUUUUUUAAGUCUGAUGUGAAAGCCUUCGGCUCAACCGAAGAAGUGCAUCGGAAACUGGGAAACUUGAGUGCAGAAGAGGACAGUGGAACUCCAUGUGUAGCGGUGAAAUGCGUAGAUAUAUGGAAGAACACCAGUGGCGAAGGCGGCUGUCUGGUCUGUAACUGACGCUGAGGCUCGAAAGUAUGGGUAGCAAACAGGAUUAGAUACCCUGGUAGUCCAUACCGUAAACGAUGAAUGCUAAGUGUUGGAGGGUUUCCGCCCUUCAGUGCUGCAGCUAACGCAUUAAGCAUUCCGCCUGGGGAGUACGGCCGCAAGGCUGAAACUCAAAGGAAUUGACGGGGGCCCGCACAAGCGGUGGAGCAUGUGGUUUAAUUCGAAGCUACGCGAAGAACCUUACCAGUCUUGACAUACUAUGCAAAUCUAGAGAUUAGACGUUCCCUUCGGG